rnacentral:lncRNA from 1 species
UAUCUCCAUCUCACCCCACACUUCUCGCCCUCACUCUCCCUCUCUUCGUCGUCUCUCUCCAACGACCUCACCCCCGUGUCUACAGCCCCCCCUCUUUCCUUCGGCCGGUAGCAGCAGCCGCCAUCGUCGUUCCCACGUCGACAGCAGCGCCGCCUAGCCACCGCCUCCCUCAUCUCCUUCACCUCCUGGCCGACAGCAGCAGCGGGGCUGCCAUCGCCGCCUCCUGCUCCCUCUGUCUCGACCAGCAAGGCACGGCAGCGGUCGAGACCACAGCGCCGCCGCCCCUGUCUCCUUCCGCCGGCCGACGUGCAGCGCUGGCAAUACUGCUGCUCAACCGCCCCCUUGUUUCUAAGCCACCAUCCCUCUUCCACUUCUUCUAUCUCUAUUUCCCAUGUAAUAUAUAAGAUUUAUUCUAUUUUCUUUUUCAUGUAUUUAGCAAUAUAUAUAUAAAUUACAGAAAAAUAGAUGUAUGCAUGAUUGGAUUUUGAAAACAAAGUUUUUGAUGUUUAGCCUUGGUUUUGGCGAAAAUGCAGAAAAUUGUUGAUAUGCUUGAAAUGAAAUAACUUUUCAAAAGUUAUUAAAAUUACCAGCUUGAAUGAGUGAAGUAAAUCAGUUGCUGCGAAUUGGAAAUAUUUGAGUGAAUUUUUGUUGAUUUGUGAAUUUGAGAAUGAUACAUUGAUGUUUAAAUAGAUUGAAAUAUUUGACAUAGAACGUGUGAAAGUGUGAAAAGAGAUCAAUCAAACUUUGUUGCUUCAAAGUUUGCUGCUUCAAAAUUUGCUGCUGUGGAAAUCAAAUUUGGCUUGCUGUAUUUUCGAAAUAUUUCCAGAAAAUGAGAGAAGCUAAUUUUAUAAAAAAAGUGAGGCGGUGGAAAGGAUAAAAUGAAUUCCUUAUUGCACAAGAUUGACUAAAUAAAUUGGAUGGCUGAGGAGGAUCAAAUGAGAAAAUUGUGUAAAUGAGGCGGAAAAAAUACAUUCUAUGUAUCAUAAAAUUAUGGGCUUUUCAAUACUUUUACCCCAUGAAUACAAGUGAGGCCCAAACAAAUAGCCUACAAAAAUAUUUUAUACAAGGCCCAAAUUAUACUAAAAUGUUAAGAAUAAAAUUUAUAUUUAAUAAUAGCUAAUGUUUUAAAAUUAUGCAAAGUUACAUAAUAUAUUUGGCCCAACAUCAUAAAUCUGCUCCAAUAUAAAUAAGCUAUAAUUUAUUGAGGUCCAAAUUCAUAUAAAAAAAAUAUUUGGAAAAAUAAAGAAAAACUUGAUUAUUCCGAAAGUAUAGUUUUGCUUUGUAAAAUUUGCAGCGAUGAUGGUCAUAUUUAAAUAGGUAGUAAAUUACUUGUUCGUCAAAGAUUUGAAUGUGAAAGAAAUCAAAGUUUGCUGAUCAAAGUUUGCUGCUGGAAAUCAAAUUUGCUAUCAAAGUUUGCUUUUGAAUCUUCUGUUUGCUUUUGAAUUGAAGAUGUUGGGGAUUUUGGAAUUUGAGAGUAAAAUGAAUUGUGAGAGUUUAAAGAUUAUUAAAAAUUUCUCUGCACAAAAUAUGGGAUACAGUAGUGAACUGGAGAAGAAUGAAAAAUUUACAGAAAUAAUAAAAUUACCUUGUGCAGAGAAAAGAGCACAAAUAAUUUUAAAGCUUGCUGUGUUUUUGGCAUGUUUCGAAAAAUCAGAUGAUGAAGGCCGAUGUUUUAAAUAGGAAAGUUUGAUACUUGUUGUUUUAAAAAAAAUGAUGUGGCCAAAGAUGAGAGAUAGAAUUGUGGCUAAGGAAAAACUGAACCACGUAACAUCUCAUUUUAAUUAAAGAAAGACAUAUGGACUUAUAAUAAUAAUUGGGCUUUAAAGAUGAUAAAUGGGCUUUCAAAUAAUAAAAUUUUAACCCAAUUAUCAUAGAAAAAGAAUAAAAACUAUGGCCCAACAUAUUUAUUAAAAAUAUUUGAUAAUAUAAAUUUGUAUCUUUUUAUAAAUAUAUAAUCUAUAGUUCAAAGUCAUUUAUCUAAUUAGGGCGGUUAGAUAUCUGAUAAGAAUAAAAAUAGGAAUGGCUGGCUUGGAGACUUCUUUAAACAAAUGUAAAUAAAUAGAGUAGAAAUUGUUAAUUUGCAGAUACGAAAAUAAGGUAUCCAAAUCUUGAAAUCAUUAAUAAACUAUAAAUGUUGAAACUUGAAUAAUUGUUUUAGGAUCAUUGCAAAAGAAUUUGGCACAUUAAUAACAAUAAGCCCAACACUAACAAAAUUUAUGAAAAUAUUUUAUUCUUAAUCCAAAAUUAAUAUAAUGUCCAUGAUAAAUAUAUUUAAGUAAAUAAAUUUAUUUAGGCCCAAAUUUAUAUAAAAUAUUUUUGGAAUAUAAAACUUUAUUUCUAUAGGUAUAACCUAGAAUUUAGAGUCAUACAUCUAGUAGGGGCGCGACUAGAUAAUUCUUCCACAAACUCGACUCAUAGAUUUAUAUUUUUAAUAUCUCGAAAAUAUAAAAAUUUUCAAAUAAAAUUUGCAAAGGUAGUAAACGGUUUUGGGCUGUGACAAACCUACCCACUUAAAAGAAUUUCGUCCUCGAAAUUUGACAAUUCAUAGUUGCAAUAAUCUUCAACAUAAUAACUUGAAUACUGAACUUGAACAUUUUCUCAUAAUAACUUCAAUCAUUGCAGCAAAUUCACUAUACUUUCAACGUAAAUAAUUUAUACGCAUCCUCUUGAAAAAUAUUUGAAAUAUCUUUACUCAUAGCUGCAAUAAUCUUCAACAUAAUAUCUUGAAUACUGAACUUUCUCAUAAUAACUUGCAUAAUGAACUUGAACUUUCUGAUAAUAACUUCAAUUAUUGCAGCAAAUUUCAACAUACUUUCAACGUAAACAAUUUAUACUCAUCCCUAUAAAAAUAUUUUGAAAUACUUUUAAAAUACAUUUACCUUGAAGUCGGAGCACGUAGAGGUCGAAUGGAUUUUCUCACACAUGACAUUUAAGAAUUUUAUGUAAAAUAUUUUGCAGAGUCUACAGGAAAGUAGACCUGCUCUGAUACCAUGCUGUAACACCCUAAUCUAAUUAAGAAGUUAAAUAUAAAAUUUAAAUAAAUAUUUAAUGCGGAAGUCUUUUAAAAUAAUUUAAAACUCACUUUUAAAAUAAAUAUUUUCGAAAAUAAUUUUAAGAAAAAGAAAUCUUUAAAUAAAAUUGGUUUUUAAAGCACUUUUAAAACGAUUUAUAAGAUAUCAAAAUUUUCAAUAAUGUAUUCAAAUAUAAAACUUGAUUUUGAAAUCAUAAAUUUAAACAACUUUAUUUUCAAAGCACGACAUGAAGAUGUCAGAAAAAUAAUUAACUAAUUAAUAAAACUUUUACUAAGGAAAAACUCUAAGUAUAAAAUAAUAUCUUUUUAGCAGCGGAAAAUAUAACAAAAUAAAAUCUUUAUAUGAUUAAAAAUUAUGUAUGUAUCCAUGUAUAUAUUUUCGUAAAGAUAUAAAUUCUUAAAUAAAUAUUUGAAAUGAAUUUAAAUAUAAAUUAAACAAGUCAUGACAUUAAAAUAAUAUAAUAACAUUUAUUUAAAUAAAUCACACACAAAUCUCAAAUAGUAUAGAAUUUCAGAGUUUACAUAAUCAAGAGAUAUCACAUGAAAUAACAUAAUAUGUUUUAGGAAACAUUUAUCUUUAAAUAGAUUCGACGCGCCCAUUCGACUCUCCACGCGCCUCCGAUAUCAAUCACCUGAAACUGUUGAAUAUGGGAUGAGCAUACAGGGUACACUCAGUGUGGGAACAUGCAAUAAUUGUCCAUGUUAAUAAAAUGGUAACACAUAUUGUCAUAACGUAACAUAACUUCCAUACGCACUGUGGCAAUCCAAGGACUUUAAUGUCCCGGACCCUAUAUGUGGGCCCCUGGCGACAAUAUAAUGGUUGCAACCCUGUAACAUGAAAUCGCAUUGUGGCAUACCAAGGACGGUGAAGUCCUGGACCAAUUAUGCUGGCCCCUAGCGAUAAAUAUUUUUACAACACAUACGGUAAACACAUAAUAUUAAAAUGGACAAAUAUUAACCACGUGCAUGUACUGAAAUAAAUCCCACACCUGGAACUUUAACUUGAACUUGAACUUCAACUUGAAUGCUAACUUGAGUAAUACAAUUAAAAUUCAUAUCCUAGUCGCGCCGCACCUAGUCAGAUAAAUUCAAAUAAUAACAUAUAAGGGCCUAUUUGAACUUUAAAAUAAUUUAGAUUAUUGGAUCAUAUAAAAAUAAUAAAUUUAAGUAAUAAAAUAUAUUUUCUUAUAAAAAGAUUUGGGCUCAAAAUUUAGUUAAAAACUAAGUUUAAAUUAAUAAUUCAAGUCUAAAUAUAUUAUUAAAACAUCCUUUGAAAAAUAAUGCAAAUGCAAGACCAUGAAAAUUAAACUAUGAGCCCAAUUACUAAUUAAACUGAGCCCAACUAUCUUAAAUAAAUUGAGCCCAUUAGCCAGCCCAAGCCCAUUUCCCUUCCAUUCACCCUAAUUUAUAUUCACACCACACACAUACGCAGCGUAGCUCCCAUUUCCUCACUCUCUCUCUGCCGCUCUCUCUUCCCUCUCCUCUUCUCGGCCCUCCCCCUGCCGCCGCCACCGGACGGCAUCGCCGUCGCCGGAGUCGGCUGUCCUGGCUCCUCUCCCUCUUCUUCCUAUCUCCAUCUCACCCCACACUUCUCGCCCUCACUCUCCCUCUCUUCGUCGUCUCUCUCCAACGACCUCACCCCCGUGUCUACACGCCCCCCCUCUUUCCUUCGGCCGGUAGCAGCAGCCGCCAUCGUCGUUCCCACGUCGACAGCAGCGCCGCCUAGCCACCGCCUCCCUCAUCUCCUUCACCUCCUGGCCGACAGCAGCAGCGGGGCUGCCAUCGCCGCCUCCUGCUCCCUCUGUCUCGACCAGCAAGGCACGGCAGCGGUCGAGACCACAGCGCCGCCGCCCCUGUCUCCUUCCGCCGGCCGACGUGCAGCGCUGGCAAUACUGCUGCUCAACCGCCCCCUUGUUUCUAAGCCACCAUCCCUCUUCCACUUCUUCUAUCUCUAUUUCCCAUGUAAUAUAUAAGAUUAUUCUAUUUUCUUUUCAUGUAUUUAGCUAAUAUAUAUAAAUUACAGAAAAAUAGAUGUAUGCAUGAUUGGAUUUUGAAAACAAAGUUUUUGAUGUUUAGCCUUGGUUUUGGCGAAAAUGCAGAAAAUUGUUGAUAUGCUUGAAAUGAAAUAACUUUUCAAAAGUUAUUAAAAUUACCAGCUUGAAUGAGUGAAGUAAAUCAGUUGCUGCGAAUUGGAAAUAUUUG